CUCUAACCACAGCUGAACGCCCGCGUUAAGGAUUGAAGUGGAAAUCCUUUUUAAACUUGGUUAGAUGAUUUAUUAAUGCAAAAAAAAUGAGGCUUGGGUGUGGAAAAUAAUGAUGUUAAAACAAUUUUUUUAAAAAGAUUUCAGCGGAAAGCCUGACCCCGC
rnacentral:sRNA from 1 species